rnacentral:sRNA from 1 species
UUGGGGUGAAAUAAUUAAUAGAUUCCGUUCAGGUAUUAUACAAUAGUAUUUAUAUUUACAGACAAAGAGUGUACGGGAGGUAUAUACAGGUACGGCUGGUUAACGGGAACUGAUAGGUCACCUUCAAACAGUAAAAAGGUGCCAAAAGAAGGGUGGUGGCUAGGUGGAUAUAUACGUAUGUUUGUGUGUAUAUAUGUGUAUGUAUGUAUUGAGGAUAUAUGUAGUUCGAGGUCAGGACACUCAGAGAAGGCGAAAGACAGGUUAGGUUUUCAAACAUGUAUAUAAAAUAAAGAAUAGACAAAAAAAUAUAUAAAGAGUAAAUAACGCAGAAUAAUUAAAUAGAGCAGGGGGAAAAAAUGGGGAGAGGAACCAAAACAGCAGUGGUAUCAUCGAAGGAAACGAAUGCAACCAGGACAACAGUAACAAGCUCUUUUAACAGGAAAUGAGAAAAAAAAAAAAGCAGGAACUAAAAUAAACGACCAAUCCUAAUCCACAUAGAGAGGAAAACUUCAAAAUAGCAAAAAUAGACGCGAGUACCACAAUGGCUCAAGAGAGUAUGCUAUCAAUUGGAUUUGCGAACACGGGAUGGACAUAUAUGAGACAGCCAACAGCCAGCUACCAACACAGCACAACGAUGAACCAAACACACGGAUAACCAGCCCAGAUCCAAGCUAGGUUAAAAGAGAGGUAGGAGGAAUGAAGGAAGUACCCAGCGAGGGGGUGAGAAGAAGAAAAUAAUAAAAUAUAUAAACCGAUGGACCGGGGCCGAGGAGGGGGAGGGACGGUGGAGGACGGCGAUGACGUCCACAACCUAUAAAAAGGAGGGGCGAGUAGAGUGAGGGGAGUUUAUCCCACGACACCCAUAAGCCUAGGAACGAAAACCAAAAAAAUAGGCUCAUAACCAAAAAUGAAAAGGGGCAGCUGGACGAUACAACACCGCGCAAUGUGAUGGAGCGCGGGUUGCACUUAGCAGAUCCCCGCUGCCUGGGCGACGAAGGCAGACUGGUGGGUGUGGGUACGGAGAGGUGUUGUCAUUGAUAUGAAGUGAGAGGGUUGGGGAGAAGAGGAGCGAUGGCUAAAUGUUUGCCGGCGAAGUAUACGAUAAGAAUGAAGCAGGAGGGUAAGUUGUGAACAAGAAACAAACAAGGAUAUUCGGUAUCGUAGGUUGGCGGAAAGGAGGAAAGGGGGUGUAUAAGGAGGCGGAGGGAG